rnacentral:rRNA from 1 species
UACGUAGGGGGCUAGCGUUGUCCGGAAUCAUUGGGCGUAAAGCGUGCGCAGGCGGUUCUAUAAGACAGAUGUGAAAUCCCCGGGCUCAACCUGGGAACUGCAUUUGUGACUGUAGAGCUGGAGUGCGGCAGAGGGGGAUGGAAUUCCGCGUGUAGCAGUGAAAUGCGUAGAUAUGCGGAGGAACACCGAUGGCGAAGGCAAUCCCCUGGGCCUGCACUGACGCUCAUGCACGAAAGCGUGGGGAGCAAACAGG